rnacentral:rRNA from 1 species
AGUGAACGCUGGCGGUAGGCCUAACACAUGCAAGUCGAACGGCAGCACAGUAAGAGCUUGCUCUUACGGGUGGCGAGUGGCGGACGGGUGAGGAAUACAUCGGAAUCUACUUUUUCGUGGGGGAUAACGUAGGGAAACUUACGCUAAUACCGCAUACGACCUACGGGUGAAAGCAGGGGAUCUUCGGACCUUGCGCGAUUAAAUGAGCCGAUGUCGGAUUAGCUAGUUGGCGGGGUAAAGGCCCACCAAGGCGACGAUCCGUAGCUGGUCUGAGAGGAUGAUCAGCCACACUGGAACUGAGACACGGUCCAGACUCCUACGGGAGGCAGCAGUGGGGAAUAUUGGACAAAGGGCGCAAGCCUGAUCCAGCCAUACCGCGUGGGUGAAGAAGGCCUUCGGGUCGUAAAGCCCUUUUGUUGGGAAAGAAAAGCAGCAGGUUAAUACCCCGCUGUUCUGACGGUACCCAAAGAAUAAGCACCGGCUAACUUCGUG